CCGAGUCUACGCACCAGUUCUUACUUGCUUGACUAUUCAAUAUUUGACAAGAGAAUUGACUUUUUUUUAUUUCUUUUUUUACAUGUAGGCAAAUAGAACCAACAGCCCUGAAUGGAAUUGUUUGCAUAGAACGAUGCUGAAACCAUGUUCCCGAACUUUGCAUGGGGCGCGGCAACAUUCCCUUAUCAAAUCGAGGGACACAUUCAAUAACCCUGCGGUCUACAUCACAGAAAAUGGCUUCUCCCAGGUGGGGCCAGUGGACAUGGAAGACAUCCAGCACUGUGGGUUUUACCAGGACAUCAUCCAGGUUGCUUUGCACAUCAAAUCCUAGUAUAUAUGCAAGAUCCAGAAACUAUGGAGGCUGAGUCACCUGAUUCCAAUUUGAUGAUCCUGUUCCGUUG